rnacentral:tRNA from 1 species
GCACGAAUGGCCUAGUGGAUAAAGCAGUGGACUCAUAAUCAUUCGACUUCAACUGCAGUAGGUGAGGUAGGUGGGUUCGAAUCCCGCUUGAGGCA